GAUGAACGCUAGCGGCAGGCCUAACACAUGCAAGUCGAGGGGUAGCAGGAUUAAGCUUGCUUAAUUGCUGACGACCGGCGCACGGGUGCGUAACGCGUAUGCAACCUACCUUAUACUGGGGUAUAGCCCGGAGAAAUUCGGAUUAAUCCCCCAUAGUACUAAUGAAUCGCAUGGUUUAUUAGUUAAAGCAUUGCGGUAUAAGAUGGGCAUGCGUCCUAUUAGCUAGAUGGUGAGGUAACGGCUCACCAUGGCUACGAUAGGUAGGGGGCCUGAGAGGGUGGUCCCCCACACUGGAACGGGGACACGGACCAGACUCCUACGGGAGGCAGCAGUGAGGAAUAUUGGUCAAUGGGCGCAAGCCUGAACCAGCCAUGCCGCGUGCAGGAAGAAUGCCCUAUGGGUUGUAAACUGCUUUUAUUUGGGAAUAAACCUCUUUACGUGUAGAGAGCUGAAGGUACCAAAUGAAUAAGCACCGGCUAACUCCGUGCCAGCCGCCGCCGUAA
rnacentral:rRNA from 1 species